GGGUUGAUGCUGUCUGUCGUGUCAAUUGGAAAGUAAUUAAGUAAGUUUCAUCAUCAUUCCUUUCUAUUCCGCAAAAUGUCUAUUGGUUUUGUUCACGUGUUCGAAUUGGAUAUUUUUUUGUUGUUGUAUUUGAAUUCUUUGUUAAGUGAUCAUUGGUUUUCUUUUAGGCAUAGAUACCGAAGGUAGAGUUCUCUCGCGCUUUAAUU
rnacentral:lncRNA from 1 species